GAUGAACGCUGGCGGCGUGCCUAAUACAUGCAAGUCGAGCGAACGGACGAGAAGCUUGCUUUUCUGAUGUUAGCGGCGGACGGGUGAGUAACACGUGGAUAACCUACCUAUAAGACUGGGAUAACUUCGGGAAACCGGAGCUAAUACCGGAUAAUAUUUUGAACCGCAUGGUUCAAAAGUGAAAGACGGUCUUGCUGUCACUUAUAGAUGGAUCCGCGCUGCAUUAGCUAGUUGGUAAGGUAACGGCUUACCAAGGCAACGAUGCAUAGCCGACCUGAGAGGGUGAUCGGCCACACUGGAACUGAGACACGGUCCAGACUCCUACGGGAGGCAGCAGUAGGGAAUCUUCCGCAAUGGGCGAAAGCCUGACGGAGCAACGCCGCGUGAGUGAUGAAGGUCUUCGGAUCGUAAAACUCUGUUAUUAGGGAAGAACAUAUGUGUAAGUAACUGUGCAAAUCUUGACGGUACCUAAUCAGAAAGCCACGGCUAACUACGUG
rnacentral:rRNA from 1 species